UAGCUAUUGGCUGUCCUAAAAGUCGAUAAAUGACGUCAUCGCUUAAUUUGUACAAUUGACAAUGUGCAUGUAAUUGUGAUGUACGCUGUAGGAGAGAGGAAUAACGUCGUGGGAGAGAUAAAAAAUUGGGGUGCAACAUGGCUGCAAUCCAGGAUGAGUGGCAGGGGCUGAAAAUCCUGGUCAGCCACAAUUUCAAGGACAAGUCUUAGUGGCAUGUGGGAGACCAUGUUGACAAAGGACCCCUACAGGCACGAUUACAAGAACAUACUGGAGUUGGUGCAGCUUAUGCUGGUGCUGCCCAUUUCAGCCGCCCAGUGUGAGUGAGGCUUCUCUGCACAGAACUCGAUUAAGAUUGACAAGAAGCUGCCUUGGGGUCUCUACCACCGAAGACCUGAUGAGGAUCAGCCUGGGGGUCUUCUGUCGAGGAGUUGGAUCCCACUCCUGUCGUGGACCGCUGGCUGACCUCUAAGCGUGCCAACAUACAAAAGCAGCUGGACAACUGAUAUCCUUUGCGUCUAGUAGCCAUGAGUCAAUGUGUGAUUGGUGGUAUGUGUCCCUUAGUACACGCACGCAGUAUAAUUAUGUAUGUAAUAAAUUGUUUGUUAAUAAACUCUCGUGUUACUUGAACAUU